rnacentral:rRNA from 1 species
ACUCCUACGGGAGGCAGCAGUAGGGAAUUUUCCGCAAUGGACGAAAGUCUGACGGAGCAAUGCCGCGUGAGUGAUGAAGGUUUUCGAAUCGUAAAGCUCUGUUGUAAGGGAAGAAUAGCAGUAGUAGGAAAUGACUACUGUGUGACGGUACCUUACCAGAAAGCCACGGCUAACUCCGUGCCAGCAGCCGCGGUAAUACGGAGGGUGCGAGCGUUAAUCGGAAUUACUGGGCGUAAAGCGUGCGUAGGCGGCUUGGUAAGCCGGUUGUGAAAGCCCCGGGCUCAACCUGGGAACGGCAUCCGGAACUGUCAGGCUAGAGUGCAGGAGAGGAAGGUAGAAUUCCCGGUGUAGCGGUGAAAUGCGUAGAGAUCGGGAGGAAUACCAGUGGCGAAGGCGGCCUUCUGGACUGACACUGACGCUGAGGUACGAAAGCGUGGGUAGCAAACAGGAUUAGAUACCCUGGUAGGCUCUG